rnacentral:rRNA from 1 species
UACGUAGGGCGCAAGCGUUGUCCGGAAUUAUUGGGCGUAAAGAGCUCGUAGGCGGCUUGUCACGUCGGAUGUGAAAGCCCGAGGCUUAACCUCGGGUCUGCAUUCGAUACGGGCUAGCUAGAGUGUGGUAGGGGAGAUCGGAAUUCCUGGUGUAGCGGUGAAAAUGCGCAGAUAUCAGGAGGAACACCGGUGGCGAAGGCGGAUCUCUGGGCCAUUUACUGACGCUGAGGAGCGAAAGCGUGGGAGCGAACAGG